rnacentral:rRNA from 1 species
AGAGGGAGCAAGCGUUGUUCGGAAUUACUGGGCGUAAAGGGCGCGUAGGCGGUCUGGAAAGUCUCGCGUGAAAUCCCCCGGCUCAACUGGGGAACUGCGCGGGAAACUGCCAGUCUUGAGUUCGGGAGAGGGAAGCGGAAUUCCGGGUGUAGCGGUGAAAUGCGCAGAUAUCCGGAGGAACAUCGGUGGCGAAGGCGGCUUCCUGGACCGACACUGACGCUGAGGCGCGAAAGCUAGGGGAGCAAACGGGAUUAGAUACCCCGGGUAGUCCUAGCUGUAAACGUUGAGUGCUGGGUGUUGGGGGUGUCAACCCCCUCCAGUGCCGAAGCUAACGCAUUAAGCACUCCGCCUGGGGAGUACGGUCGCAAGGCUG